AGUGGCAAACAUAGCACGGACUAAUGCCACGAACAACAUGAAUCUAAGCCGAAGCAGCAGUGAUAACAACACUAAUACUUUGGGGAGGAAUGUGAUGAGCACAGCAACUUCUCCUCUUAUGGGUGCUCAGAGUUUCCCUAAUUUGACCACACCUGGUACUACAUCAACAGUGACUAUGUCAACAUCCAGUGUUACUAGCAGCAGCAAUGUAGCUACAGCAACAACAGUUUUAUCAGUUGGUCAAUCUUUAAGUAACACUUUAACCACCAGCCUCACAUCAACUUCCAGUGAGAGUGACACAGGUCAGGAAGCAGAAUAUUCCUUAUAUGGUAAGUUGUAAUUUAAAAUGAAAGUAUUUAGAUACUUUCAUAAUGAUGCUUUUAUUAUGUUUUCUCCCGAUAUUUUAAACUUUUGUUUAAAGAGAAUUAUUCUCUCUUCUUAUAAAUAUGAAAUCUUUGGGCCAGGCACAGUAGCUCUCACACCUGUAAUCCCAGCACUUUGGGAGGCCGAGGCAGGUGGAUCAGUUGAGGUCAGGAGUUCGAGACCAGCCUGACCAACAUGGUAAAACCCCAUUUCUACUAAAAAUACAAAAGAAAA
rnacentral:sRNA from 1 species